CUUACCGAACUCAACCAAACUCCGAAUACCCGUGACAACAGGCCGGGACUCAGGCGUUGGGAGCUAAGUUCAGCGCCAAGAGGGAAAGAACCCAGAUCGUCAGCUAAGGUCCCCAAGUCGUGACUAAGUGGGAAAGGAUGUGGGAGCGCUUAGACAGCCAGGAGGUUGGCUUAGAAGCAGCCAUCCUUCAAAGAAAGCGUAACAGCUCACUGGUCGAGCGAACCCGCGCCGAAAAUUCAACGGGUCUCAAGUCACGCACCGAAGCUACGGGUUUCUGCAAAGAAGCGGUAGGCGAGCAUUCUCUGUGCGGUGAAGGCGUACGGUAACGAGCGUUGGAGCGCAGAGAAGAGCUGAUGUUGGCGUGAGUAGCGAUAAAGAGAGUGAAAAACUCUCUCGCCGUAAAACCCAAGGGUUCCUGGGGUAAAAGAUAAUCUGCUCAGGGUUAGUCGGUCCCUAAGGCGAGGCCGAAAGGCGUAGUCGAUGGGAAGCAGGCGAACAUUCCUGCACCGGCACGGAUGGUUCCACGAGGAGGGAC
rnacentral:rRNA from 1 species